rnacentral:tRNA from 1 species
CAGGGAGACAACAAAAUGUUAAAUAUUAUUAUUUUGUCACCUUAGGUCGAUCGGUAUCUCACAUUCUUGAUUUUCAAGAAUUUCUUUUCCUAAGUUUUUCUAGGUCACACCCAUUAUUUUUCCUGGGCCAUUAGCUCAGGUGGUUAGAGCGCACCCCUGAUAAGGGUGAGGUCCCUGGUUCAAGUCCAGGAUGGCCCAUAUCUCUAUGUUGGGGGUAUAGCUCAGUUGGUAGAGCGCCUGCUUUGCAAGCAGGAUGUCAGCGGUUCGAGUCCGCUUACCUCCACUGAUUACCACCUCUUCCAUAUUCUUAGAAAGGAAAAUUUUGAGUUGUGAUCAAUUUCUGAACGAAUCUAGCUUCCUAACGUAACCAUUAAGAUGCUGGACUCAUUGAAUUAAUUUCAUUGUUUUCAGAGAACCUUGACAACUGCAUAGAUUAUUUUUUUAAAGACAAUAAGCAUCUUUAAUGAUGCAGAUUUAUUAUUUGUGCUAAUGCAUUAAUAACAAUUCUAUUAAGCUGAUGCUUCAAUUUUUGAAGUUAUU